rnacentral:rRNA from 1 species
ACGAUAUUCUAGACUUCGGUGUUAGAUGAAAGUGGCGCACGGGUGCGUAAUGCGUAUGCUACCUACCCUUUACAGGAGAAUAGCUCGGGGAAACUCGAAUUAAUACCCGAUGGUAUCAUAAGAUCGCAUGAUUUAAUGAUUAAAGAUUUAUCGGUAAAAGAUGGGCAUGCGUCUGAUUAGCUAGAUGGCGGGGUAACGGCCCACCAUGGCGAUGAUCAGUAGGGGUUCUGAGAGGAUGAUCCCCCACACUGGUACUGAGACACGGACCAGACUCCUACGGGAGGCAGCAGUAGGGAAUAUUGGACAAUGGGCGAGAGCCUGAUCCAGCCAUGCCGCGUGUAGGAUGACGGCCUUCUGGGUUGUAAACUACUUUUCUACAGGAAGAAAAAGUCCAUGCGUGGACAAUUGACGGUACUGUAGGAAUAAGCACCGGCUAACUCCGUGCCAGCAGCCGCGGUAAUACGGAGGGUGCGAGCGUUGUCCGGAUUUAUUGGGUUUAAAGGGUGCGUAGGCGGCUCUUUAAGUCAGUGGUGAAAGCCCGCAGCUUAACUGUGGAACUGCCAUUGAUACUGGAGAGCUUGAGUACGGUUGAAGUAGGCGGAAUUUAUGGUGUAGCGGUGAAAUGCAUAGAUACCAUAAAGAACACCGAUAGCGUAGGCAGCUUACUAAGCCGUAACUGACGCUGAGGCACGAAAGCAUGGGGAGCGAACAGGAUUAGAUACCCUGGUAGUCCAUGCCGUAAACGAUGAUCACUCGCUGUUAGCGAUAUACUGUUAGCGGCCAAGCGAAAGCGUUAAGUGAUCCACCUGGGGAGUACGUCCGCAAGGAUGAAACUCAAAGGAAUUGACGGGGGUCCGCACAAGCGGUGGAGCAUGUGGUUUAACUCGAUGAUACGCGAGGAACCUUACCUGGGCUAGAAUGCCCUUGACAGCUUUAGAGAUAGAGUUUCCUUCGGGACAAGGUGCAGGUGCUGCAUGGCUGUCGUCAGCUCGUGC